UCCCAGACUCCUACGGGAGGCAGCAGUGGGGAAUAUUGGGCAAUGGGCGCAAGCCUGACCCAGCAACGCCGCGUGAAGGAAGAAGGCUUUCGGGUUGUAAACUUCUUUUCUCAGGGACGAAGCAAGUGACGGUACCUGCAAAGGAAGCACCGGCUAACUCCGUGCCAGCAGCCGCGGUAAUACGGAGGGUGCGAGCGUUAAUCGGAAUUACUGGGCGUAAAGCGCUCGUAGGCGGUAUGUCAAGUCAAGGGUGAAAUCCCCGCGCUCAACGUGGGAACUGCCCUUGAAACUGGCAAACUGGAGUGUGUGAGAGGAUAGUGGAAUUCCAGGUGUAGGAGUGAAAUCCGUAGAUAUCUGGAGGAACAUCAGUGGCGAAGGCGACUAUCUGGCACAUAACUGACGCUGAGGAGCGAAAGCGUGGGUAGCAAACAGGAUUAGAUACCCCUGUAGG
rnacentral:rRNA from 1 species